rnacentral:lncRNA from 1 species
CAGCCGCUAACUGCUCUGGCCCCGGGGCCAGCUCUCCAGCUGAAUCUGUGUCCAGGAAUGGAACCAAAGUCUCGGUCAAAGUCUCAGUCGAUUCCUGAGGCGGAGCUGACAUCUGGGAGGAAGCAGAGGACCCCAGGUGAGGAAGCCAUGGUUUAAAGCAGAGAUCACCAACUGCUGGACCACAGACCUGCACGAGUUCACGGCCUGUUAGGAACCGAGCCACACAGCAGGAGCACAUGCUCCUCUGCAGAAAGUGAUGGGGCUGCCUUGCCAGCUGGAGCCUGAAACUGUGCCCAGGUAGACAGAACUGCGAGUCCCAGGACAGCCUGGGAAGUGUUGGCUGCCUGGUAAUGGAAGAAUGUCCAGGAUGGAAAACAAGAGGCUGGAUCUGCAAAUGACAUUGUAUUUCAGGGGUCUGCUUUCCUGGUCUGCCCCUCCCCACCUCUGUAGCUCCCUCACAGUGACAGCAGAGCUGUGAACCCAGGAACAAACCCCACCAUUGCCCCUGUCCUCUCUCAUCUCUACUUUCCACAUUGAAAAAUAAUAAAAGAGGCCAGGCAUGGUGGCUCAAAACAGCUAUAAUACCAGCACUAGGAUGCCAAGAUGAGAGAAUGGCUUGAGGCCAGGAGUUCAAGACCUGCCUGAGCAACAUAGAGAGACCCACCCCCCAGUCUCUGCAAAAGCUAAAAAUUAGCUGAGCAUGGUGGGAUGCACUUGAAGUCCCAGCUACUUGGAGGCUAAGUCAGGAGGAUCACUUGAGCCCAGAAGGUUGAGGCUGUAAUGAACCAUGAUUGUGCCACUGCAUUCCAGCCUGGGUGACAGAGUGAUAUCCUGUCUCUAAAAAAUAAAUAAGGUAAUAAUAAUAAAAUAAAUGCCCUCCAGGAGUUUCAGUAAAGGGUCUGAAGUAUAUAAUUUGUACUUGUACCUCAGGCCAGCCUUCUGCCAGUAACCAUGAUUGCAGGCUGAUCCCAAAAGUCGUUGUCUUCAUCUGUUUUAUGCUACUAUAACUGAAUACCACAUGCUGGGAAAUUUACUAGGAAUAGAUGUGUACUUAGCUCACAGUUCUGGAGGCUGGGAAGUCC